rnacentral:tRNA from 1 species
ACGAUAGCAAUAUGUAAAGGAUGAAGGCCGGAUAGAGCAACGGCCUUCUAAGCCGUCGGUCGGGAGUUCGAAUCUCUCCUGGACGUA